rnacentral:lncRNA from 1 species
AUUACCAUCCGAACUCCUCCAGUGGUCGGCCUUCCACAGUGUCCUCCAGAUUCCUCUAACAGACGAACUCCUAUCGUGCCAUCUGGACUUCUCCAAUCAUGACCUCCUCCAUUCAUCUACCGGACUGCUCCAAACGCUCUCUGAGCUUCACUUUCAGUGAUUCUCUACAGUGAUCGACUAUUCUUCGAAGCUCUUCUAGACUUCUCCCAGCC